rnacentral:rRNA from 1 species
UACAGAGGGUGCAAGCGUUAAUCGGAAUUACUGGGCGUAAAGCGUGCGUAGACGGUAGCGUAAGUCGGGUGUGAAAGCCCCGGGCUCAACCUGGGAAUUGCAUUCGAGACUGCUCUGCUAGGGUGCGGAAGAGGGAAGCGGAAUUUCCGGUGUAGCGGUGAAAUGCGUAGAUAUCGGAAGGAACACCAGUGGCGAAAGCGGCUUCCUGGUCCAGCACCGACGUCAGGCACGAAAGCGUGGGAGCAAACAGG